UAGUACCUUACUACUUGGAUAACCGUGGUAAUUCUAGAGCUAAUACAUGCUAAAAACCCCGACUUCGGAAGGGGUGUAUUUAUUAGAUAAAAAACCAAUGCCCUUCGGGGCUCCUUGGUGAUUCAUAAUAACUUAACGAAUCGCAUGGCCUUGUGCCGGCGAUGGUUCAUUCAAAUUUCUGCCCUAUCAACUUUCGAUGGUAGGAUAGUGGCCUACCAUGGUUUCAACGGGUAACGGGGAAUUAGGGUUCUAUUCCGGAGAGGGAGCCUGAGAAACGGCUACCACAUCCAAGGAAGGCAGCAGGCGCGCAAAUUACCCAAUCCCGACACGGGGAGGUAGUGACAAUAAAUACUGAUACAGGGCUCUUUUGGGUCUUGUAAUUGGAAUGAGUACAAUUUAAAUCCCUUAACGAGGAACAAUUGGAGGGCAAGUCUGGUGCCAGCAGCCGCGGUAAUUCCAGCUCCAAUAGCGUAUAUUAAAGUUGUUGCAGUUAAAAAGCUCGUAGUUGAACCUUGGGCCUGGCUGGCCGGUCCGCCUCACCGCGUGCACUGGUCCGGCCGGGUCUUUCCUUCUGGGGAGCCGCAUGCCCUUCACUGGGUGUGUCGGGGAACCAGGACUUUUACUUUGAAAAAAUUAGAGUGUUCAAAGCAGGCCUAUGCUCGAAUACAUUAGCAUGGAAUAAUAGAAUAGGACGUGUGGUUCUAUUUUGUUGGUUUCUAGGACCGCCGUAAUGAUUAAUAGGGAUAGUCGGGGGCAUCAGUAUUCAAUUGUCAGAGGUGAAAUUCUUGGAUUUAUUGAAGACUAACUACUGCGAAAGCAUUUGCCAAGGAUGUUUUCAUUAAUCAGUGAACGAA
rnacentral:rRNA from 1 species